rnacentral:rRNA from 1 species
CAGUAGCCGCGGGAAUACAGAGGGUGCGAGCGUUAAUCGGAUUUACUGGGCGUAAAGCGUGCGUAGGCGGCUUCUUAAGUCGGAUGUGAAAUCCCUGAGCUUAACUUAGGAAUUGCAUUCGAUACUGGAAAGCUAGAGUAUGGGAGAGGAUGGUAGAAUUCCAGGUGUAGCGGUGAAAUGCGUAGAGAUCUGGAGGAAUACCGAUGGCGAAGGCAGCCAUCUGGCCUAAUACUGACGCUGAGGUACGAAAGCAUGGGGAGCAAACAGGAUUAGAUACCCCUGUAGUCCCUGUCUCUUAUAC